GACGAACGCUGGCGGCGUGCCUAAUACAUGCAAGUCGAGCGGACGGAUGGGAGCUUGCUCCCAGACCGUCAGCGGCGGACGGGUGAGUAACACGUGGGCAACCUGCCUGUAAGACUGGGAUAACUCCGGGAAACCGGGGCUAAUACCGGAUAACUCUUUCCCUCACAUGAGGGAAUGCUGAAAGAUGGCAUCUCGCUAUCACUUACAGAUGGGCCCGCGGCGCAUUAGCUAGUUGGUGAGGUAACGGCUCACCAAGGCAACGAUGCGUAGCCGACCUGAGAGGGUGAUCGGCCACACUGGGACUGAGACACGGUCCAGACUCCUACGGGAGGCAGCAGUAGGGAAUCUUCCGCAAUGGACGAAAGCCUGACGGAGCAACGCCGCGUGAGUGAUGAAGGUCUUCGGAUCGUAAAACUCUGUUAUCAGGGAAGAACAAGUACCGGAGUAACUGCCGGUGCCUUGACGGUACCUGACCAGAAAGCCACGGCUAACUACGUG
rnacentral:rRNA from 1 species